CACUUCUAAGGAAGGCAGCAGGCGCGCAAAUUACCCAAUCCUGACUCAGGGAGGUAGUGACAAGAAAUAACAAUACAGGGCACAUACGUCUUGUAAUUGGAAUGAGAAGAACUCAAACCGCUUUCCGAGUAUCAAUUGGAGGGCAAGUCUGGUGCCAGCAGCCGCGGUAAUUCCAGCUCCAAUAGCGUAUACUAAAGUUGUUGCAGUUAAAAAGCUCGUAGUUGGAUUUCUGUGGGGACGGAGCGGCCGGCCGCAACACGCGGUUCGAGCUAGCGCUUUCCCUACAUCCUGCCGCGAACCGUGCUACCAUUAAUUUGGUGGCGCCGGGGAUCGGCUCGAUUACUUUGAGAAAAAUAGAGUGUUCAAAGCAGGCCACAUGCCUUGAAUAAGUUAGCAUGGAAUAAUAACUAAGGACUUCGGUUCUAUUUUGUUGGUGUUCGGGACUGAAGUAAUGAUUGAUAGGGACAGUUGGGGCGGUCUGUAUUCCAAAGCGAGAGGUGAAAUUCUUAGACCUUCGGAAGACAAACAGCCGCGAAAGCGUUCCGCAAGGAUGUUCCCUUUGAUCAAGAACGAAAGUUGGGGGAUCGAAGACGAUCAGAUACCGUCGUAGUCUCAACUAUAAACUAUACCAGCUAGGGAUCGGCCAACGUUAUUUCAUACCGACUUGGUCGGCACCUUAUGAGAAAUCAAAGCAUCUGGGUUCCGGGGGGAGUAUGGUCGCAAGGCUGAAACUUAAAGGAAUUGACGGAAGGGCACCACCAGCCGUGGAGCCUGUGGCUUAAUUUGACUCAACACGGGAAAACUUACCAGGUCCAGACAUAGUAAGGAUUGACAGAUUGAUAGCUCUUUCUUGAUUCUGUGGGUGGUGGUGCAUGGCCGUUCUUAGUUGGUGGAGUGAUUUGUCUGGUUAAUUCCGUUAACGAACGAGACCCCAGCCUGCUAAAUAGCGCGCGUGAGCUUUGCUCGCGGCGAGCUUCUUAGAGGGACUCUGAUGCGCGAUAGCACAUGGAAGUUUGGGGCAAUAACAGGUCUGUGAUGCCCUUAGAUGUUCUGGGCCGCACACGGGCUACACUGGCGCCUGCAACGAGCAUAUCAGCUGGCCCGAGAGGGUCUUGGCUAAUCUUUUGAACCGGCGCCGUGCUUGGGAUUGACCUUUGCAAUUGUUGGUCAUGCAACGAGGAAUGCCUUGUAAACGCGAGUCAUCAGCUCGCAUUGAAUACGUCCCUGCCCUUUGUACACACCGCCCGUCGCUCCUACCGAUGAAUGUUCCGAUGAAAUUUUCGGAGAGCACCUGUGAACUUGGCUCCGCCUUGCGAACGGGAGGCUCAAAGUCACUUAAAUCUGAACAUUUCG
rnacentral:rRNA from 1 species